rnacentral:rRNA from 1 species
CCUACGGGAGACAGCAGUGGGGAAUAUUGCACAAUGGGGGAAACCCUGAUGCAGCGACGCCGCGUGAGUGAAGAAGUAUCUCGGUACGUAAAGCUCUAUCAGCAGGGAAGAAAAUGACGGUACCUGACUAAGAAGCCCCGGCUAACUACGUGCCAGCAGCCGCGGUAAUACGUAGGGGGCAAGCGUUAUCCGGAUUUACUGGGUGUAAAGGGAGCGUAGACGGCAGCACAAGUCUGGAGUGAAAUCCCGGGGCUUAACCCCGGAACUGCUGUGGAAACUGUGCGGCUGGAGUGCAGUAGGGGUAAGCGGAAUUCGUGGUGUAGCGGUGAAAUGCGUAGAUAUGAGGAGGAACACCGGUGGCGAAGGCGGCUUACUGGACUGUAACUGACGCUGAGGCUCGAAAGUGUGGGGAGCAAACAGGAUUAGAUACCCCAGUAGUC